AUCCCUGCCCAAUUUCACAUAGAUUGUUUUUCUAUAUAGCAACAAAUGGGUUCUUUAAAAUUCUGUGUCAAAUAAUAUCAUUCAACUCACUACCAGAAAACUCCAGUGGUUUUACCACACCAGACUACCAUUUGUUUAAGAAGGUGUCAUUUCCUUGUUGUAUGUUUUAACUCCUUUGUCAAAAGUCAAUUGGCCGUAAGUAUGUGUUUUUAUUUCUGAGUUCUCUAUUUUAUUCCAUUGGUCUAUGUGUCUGUUUUUAAACCAAUACUAUGCUGUUUUAGUUAAUGUAGCCUUGUAGUACAAUUUGAAAUCAGAUAGUGCAACGUUUUCAGCUUUAUUUCUUUGGCUCAGGAUUGCUUUGGGUAUUUGGCUUUUGGUUGUUGUUUUUCCAUGAGAAUUUUAAGAUUAUUUCUUCUAUUUCUGUAACACAUCCAAUAUAUGCAUUACCUCACAUAAUUUUUUCUGGUGAGAACACUUGAAAUACACCCUUUUAGAAAUAUAUCUAUAAUAUAUUGUUAUUAACUGUAGUCAGCAUGAGGUCAAUAGAUUUCUUGAACUUGUUCAUCCUAACUGAAUUUUUUGUGUUCUUGCCCAGUGCUCUUUGACAGAAAUCCCAGGCUCAGGGAUACCCAAGGUCUGGGAUCCCAGAAGGGCCACAGCUCUUCUCUCCUCAUCACCCGUAAUGUGGCGCACAUGGGGAGUGUUUCAGCCCUGUUUGUGUCACAGCUCUUGAAGGCCCUCCAUUCUACAGGUCCUGAGUUCUUGUUGCACAUCAAGAAAGAAUGAGGUACAUGGACAAUUGGAGGGUGAGCAAGAGCUUCAAGGAGCAACAGAACAGCU
rnacentral:lncRNA from 10 species